rnacentral:siRNA from 1 species
CACUGUCCCUGUCUACUAUCCAGC